UAGAAAAUAUUAUGGCGAUCCUAAGGGAAACCUUUACUAUAUACACUUCCUGAAGCAAAACAUUGUAUUAGGGAAAGGAAAGGAAAUCAACCGAGACUCCGAAAGUAAUGGUGAGUGAAAUCGGAUUAGCCUAAAAAGGAAGUAAUUUGAAUAGAAUUUUUUUAAUACAAUAAUUAUAUUUUAAUUUAAUAAUAAUUAAAUUAAUUUAUUUUAAAUUUAUUAAAAAAAUUCUAAUAUAUACCAUAAUAGUAUGUAUCCAAAGAAGGUAUAAAGUCCUGUAAAAUUAUUUCUAAAAAAGAAUAAAAAGUACGAUGAGAGAAACCUUGUCGGAAUAUAGGGGUACCAUCCUCUAAGGCUAAGUAUUAUAAAUUUAGCGAUAGUGAAAAGUACUGUAAAGGAAAAGUUGAAAAGAAAGUUGUAUAACAAAGUGAAAUAGACUUGAAUUAGUAAUUCUAUAAGCAGUCGAAGUUUUAUUAUAAAAUGACGGCGUACCUUUUGCAUAAUGGGUCAGCAAGUUAAUGGGAGUAGCAAGGUUAAAAGCCCUAGCGAAAGCGACUAGACUAAUAGUUUUUAAUAUUAUUAUUUAUUAUUAAAAUAUUUUUAUUAAUUAAAAAUAGGGUAAUCCCCUUUAAUAAUUUAUUUAUUAAUUAAAUAAUUAAAAAGUGGAUUAUUGACUAAAUAUUAGUGUUGGAUAAGUUACUUCUAUUAGACCCGAAGCCAGUUGAUCUUUCCAAGACCAGAUUAUAAUGGAUCGAACGGGUGAAUGUUGCAUAAUUCUCCGAAGAGUUUUGGAAAGCGGUGAAAUGCCAAUCUGAACUGGUGAUAGCUGGUUUUCUACGAAACAUAUUUAAGUAUGACAUCUAUUCAAAAUUUAUGGAGGUACAGCACGGUAAUUCCCAACUAAUAAUAAUUUGAUUAAUUUCAACAUUAUUAAGCGUUUAGGUUGCGGGGACCUCGAAAAUCUUACCAAUGGAAGCGAAACUCGGAAUUACAUAAAUUGUUGAUAGAUAUUCAGACUGCUCAUGCUAAGUUGGGUAGUCAAGACGGAAACAGCCGAGAACAAGGAUCAAGGUCCCUAAUGAUUAUUAAGUGAAAUUAAGGAAGUAACACAUUGAAUGCAGCUGUAAAGUGAGCCUGGUAGUCGCUAUCUUUUAAUGACCGUUGUAACAACGUAGCAGCCCUUAGAUUGUUGCGCCGAAAAUUUAACGGGUCUAAAUGAUCAACCGAUAUCUUGUUGAUUAUGAAUAUUAUAAUAUUAAAAAUUUUAUUUUUUUAUUCAUAAUCUAGGUAGUAGAACAUUCAGUCUAACUAAUGAAAAACAGUGUUUCAUUGUUUUGAGGUAACUGAAGAGAGAAUGCUGACAUGAGUAACGUAAAAAGAAGUUAUAAUACUUCUCGCCGAAUACGAAAGGGUUGUAAAGAAAGGUUAAACCUCUUUAUGUUAAUGCGGCCUCUAAGGUUUAAAGCGAAAGCUUUAACUGAUGAGUUAAACACUGAAAGUCCAUAUGGAAAUGGACCAGGAAAAAUAAGUGUAAUAUUUUAUUACUAAUUUUAUUAAAUUAAAAUAGUAUUUAAAUAUAAACUACCGUACCCUAAACCGACACAGGUUCGUAGGUAGAGUAUACUAAGGCGAAGAGCUAAAAGUUGUUAAGGAACUCGGCAAGUUCUCCUCAUAAGUUUGACAAUAAGAGGAACCAUUAAUAAUAAUUUUAGCCAUAAUAUUAUUUAAUUAAAGGUAUAAUAAAAUCGGAGGCCCCGACUGUUUACUAAAAACACAAUUCAGAGCAAUGAUUAAUAUCAUAGUAUUCUGGAUGAAAUUUGCCCAAUGCCAUUAAUAUAAGAGAGGUAAUAGGUAACUGUUACUAAUCGAAAGUCUGGUUAAUAGCGGUCUUAACUAUGAGGAUCCAAAGGUAGCAAAAUAAAUUGGCCAUUAAAUGUGGUCUUGUAUCAAUAAUGUAACGAUGGUCUCACUGUCUCUACAACUUGCUCAGUGAAAUUGAAUUACCCGUGCAGAUGCGGGUUACCUCCAGGGGGACGGGAAGACCCUAUGCAGCUUUACUGUAGUUAGUUAUCAUAUUGAUUAUAAAUUUAAUUAAUAGUAAUUAGGGAUGUCGAUAGACAAAAAUUGGAAAACCUUCGAAUUAAAUUUGGAUCAAUGUUCACCUUAUUUUUUAAAAAAGGGAGAGUUGACUAAUUGGCAGUUUGACUGGGGCGGUCGUCUUUAAUAAAGUAGCAAAGUACAUCCAAAUAUUUCAUUUUUAUAAAUAUCUAUUUAUUUUUUAAAUAAUUAGAAUAUACACACAAAAAAUUUUUUGUUAAAACAGUUACAUUUUAUAAUUUUAUUUUUUUUUAUAAGGUAUGCUAGAAAUUGAAUGGAGAUCAAUUGACCAGUGAAAGGUUAUGGAGAGCGUAAUGGCGGAAAGCAUGCUUAACUGAAAGACUUAGAAGUCGUACAGAUACGUAAGUAGGGCAUAGUGACCCCUCGCUAUAAUAUGGAAUAGACGGGGAUCAAUCGAUAAAAGUUACGCUAGGGAUAACAGGCUGAUAGCCGGCGAGAGUACACAUUGUCCCGGCUGUUUGGCACCUCGAUGUCGACUCAUCCUAUCCUCCGGGGGAAGAAGCUUGGAAGGGUUCGGCUGUUCGCCGAUUAAAAGGGUACGCGAGUUGGGUUUAAUACGACGUGAGUCAGUAUGGUCCCUAUCUUCUGGAGGGAUAAAUAGUAAAAAGGGGCAGACCUUCUAGUACGAAAGGAUCAAUAGGCUGUGUUUCUCUAGUGUACCAAUUGUUGAAAAUAAAAUUAUUUUUUUUUAUUAGUAUGCAUAGUUGGGUAGCCACAAACAUAAUAGAUAAGCGCUGAAUGUAUAUUAAGCAAGAAACUAACCCCUAGAUACUAUCAUCAGUAUAUUUUAAAUAAGAUUUAUAAUAUUUUUAAGCUGAUUUUAUAAGAAAUAGAACAUUUCUAAAUAGGAUGCAAAUGAAAAUAUUGUGAAGUAUUUAGUUUA
rnacentral:rRNA from 1 species